AGCUUUACACAGUAGCAGUAUCGUAGCCAAUGAGGUUUAUCUGAGGCGUGAUUAUUGCUAAUUGAAAACUUUUCCCAAACAAA
rnacentral:snRNA from 1 species